GUCGAUUUUAAUUUAGAAUUGAAAGAGAGGAAAUUGAAAUUGAUCUCCCAUUUAAAGUUCAGGACUGAUUUAGAGUUUUACACAAUUAACCAAAGCCAAUUAUAGAUUUAACCUGAAUCAAUUCCCAUUCGAUUCAAGGUUGAACCGAUCCUCGGCCGAGUUUACGUGUACGGUUGGCGGUGUCCGUCCUGUUACAAAUAUUGAAAUUCAUGGCAGAUCUCACCACACCGAUCCAAGCUUCUCUUUUGACAGAAAAAACCCCCACUGCUCUCUUUCGUUUCGAAAAACAAUUUCUCUCACUCUCUCAUCUCUCUCUGUUUCUCUGUUCCAUAAUCAACUGCACAGCCACGCCCCUUCUACUUUGUUCCCCUUGCGCAUCCUUCACCUGUCUUCCUCUCUCUGCCUUCCAAUUUCAUCACUCUCUUGUUCUUCUCUACUUGGGAAAACCAUUUCUUGCAUCUCUUGUUAAUGAAUGCCACUAGUUUCUGCUUUGUAUUUCUAUUUGUCCUUUUCUUUGAAUUGGGCGGUAGAAUUUGAAAACCGUAGGCAUUUCAGAUCUUGAGGCAUUCAUUGGGCAACUCAGAGCGGAAAUGGUGGCUGAAGCUUGGAUACUGAAGAUGGGUAACCAGGUAAGUAGCAAUCUUAAGCACGCACUCCUUCUCGAACCUUACAAGAAGAAGAACCCAAAAAGAUCAGACACCAAAGAAAGAGAAACUAUUGGCAUCCUUUCUUUUGAGGUUGCUAAUGUCAUGUCUAAAACUGUGCAUCUCCAUAAAUCUCUCACCGAUUCUGAGGUCUACAAGCUUAAAGCCGAGAUCUUGAAAUCUGAGGGAGUUCACAACUUGGUUUCCACCGAUGAAAAUUACCUUCUCCAGCUUGCUUUGGCUGAGAAACUCGAUGACCUUAGUCGGAUAGCUAGUGUUGUUUCUAGGCUCGGCAAGAAGUGUACUGAGCCUGCUUUGCAGGGUUUUGAGCAUGUUUAUGGGGAUAUAGUGAGUGGGGUCAUUGAUGUGAAGCAGUUGGGAUUUUUAGUUAAGGAUACGGAGAGGAUGGUUAGGAAAAUGGAGAGGUAUGUUAAUGCAACCUCUAAUUUGUGUGCGGAAAUGGAGGUGUUAAAUGAACUGGAGCAGGCUACCAAGAAAUUCCAGCAGAACCAGCACGAGGAGAGUCGCAGAGCUUUUGAGCAGAAACUUAUUUGGCAGAAGCAGGAUGUUAGGCAUCUUAAGGAGAUUUCACUUUGGAACCAGACUUAUGAUAAGGUUGUAGAGUUGUUAGCUAGGAAAGUUUGUACUAUUUAUGCUAGGAUUUGUGUGGUGUUUGGGGAAUCUGUGUUGAGGAGGGAGAGCUUUGGGCCUAAUGGAGAGAUUGGUUCUUCGCCUCCUAUGAAGGAUGAAUGCGGGGAGGUUUCAGGUCAGAUAAUGAUUUCAGGAUAUCUGAAACGGGCUAUUAGCAGGAGAAGCAGUAAUGGUUUCCAAUCUGGACCGAUUGAGAAACCAGUGGUGGUGAAAAAGGAGACAAGUGUUAAGUCCAGGAUUGAUUCACGGAGAGGUGAAGAAGGAUUGUUUCGAGCUGAAGAAAUCAUUUUUCCAUGUGGGACCAGUCCUGGAAGGCUAUUCAUGGAUUGCCUAAGUUUGAGUAGUUCAGCUUCUAAAUUGGAUAACGAUGAGGAUGAUGUUAUUGAGAAUGAAGACAAAGGCAGCCAAAUUUCUGGUUGCUGUAGCGUUGUUAAUGGUGGCACGAAGAGAGAGCAUCCAAACAUUUCAGGUAGUUCUAAUCGGAUCCCAAGUGGUGUCUCUUUCAGUGGAGAUCAUAGACAAGCUAGGUUUGGUGUUAUGAAUGCCUGGUUUGCCCCCAAAAGUAGGUUAACAGAGCACGCUUCAACUUCCACAGUGGGAGGAUCUGCUCUUGCCUUGCGUUAUGCAAAUGUUAUCAUAGUUAUAGAGAAGCUGCUUCGCUAUCCCCAUUUAGUUGGUGAGGAAGCCAGGGACGAUUUGUAUCAGAUGUUACCAACGAGCUUAAGAAUGUCCCUGAGGACUAAUCUCAAGUCUUAUGUCAAGAACCUGGCUAUAUAUGAUGCUCCGCUCGCUCAUGUUUGGAAAGAAACUCUUGAUGGGAUUUUAAGGUGGCUUGCUCCACUGGCACAUAACAUGAUCAGGUGGCAAAGUGAGCGUAACUUUGAGCAGCAUCAAAUUGUCAAGCGGACAAAUGUUCUGCUGCUUCAGACAUUGUAUUUUGCUGAGAGGGGAAAGGCAGAAGCAGCCAUUUGUGAGCUUCUUGUUGGGUUGAAUUACAUAUGUCGUUAUGAACAUCAGCAAAAUGCUCUAUUGGACUGUGCAAGUAGCUUUGAUUUUGAAGACUGCAUGCAUUGGCAAAUGCAGUGCCGAGCUGCUUUUGUCGAAUAACUUAAUAUCUGAAUUUAGAUACUUGAAGAAGUUUGUAAAGCGUAGUUGUUGACUCCUGAUACUUGUAUGAAGAUAGAAAUGACAGUUCAACUGGAUGACUAUCUUAGCUUUGCACGCUGAUGACUUGUAUUGCUGAAGACACAGGUUGAUUAAUGUACUUUUCCGCCAGGUAUUGGAAAGUUUUGACGUUUGAAGUACAUAAAUUCAAUUUUUUUAUGGAAAGGAAGCUACCAUUUUGUGCAUAUUUUUGUGUACAAUUUUCAGUUCUUGCCUGUAAAAGUUCCUUUUUUUAACAAUUAGCAUUUUGCAUUUCCUGAUUUUGAAGCGUGAUUAUGAUCUGGUCCUGCUUAAAAUUUUUGUUGGUUUAAAAACUCCUUCAUGUACUUAAUACCUAGAAUGAGAGGAACUUGUGCUCAUUAAUUUAUACGUUUAGUGCAAUGUGUGCUAAAUGACUUGGGAAAACUUCCUGUCAAAUCCUAAGCAGUGUAUUUUAGGAAGCAGCAUUUCAUAAGCAUGCUGUCACAUAAGCAUGUGAAGAUUUGUAAUUAUUUCCUUUUUUCUCUGUAGAAAGCAUGCAUUGGACUGCCAUCAUUGGGUUUGAGCACUCCUGCAUUUCAUUCUUCAUCAAUAUUCCUUUGCUGAUAAAUCCAUUCCUAAUAGUUGGUUUGACUAAAGGCACAGUAAAUUCAUGUCUGAAUCGUUGAGUGGAUGUCUGAUAAAAAAUGUUUUUGGACACCAGCUAUAGGGAAUCUGACACGUCGUCAGUGCUGCAAUUGCACUGGCAAGUACACACCUGUUGCUUGUGCAUUUUGUUGUAUUUUAUCAUGGAUGUCUAUUUAGAAUUCUGAAUUUCUAUCUGAACUGAACCGUCUUGUAGUUCUCUCACUGUACCACAUUAGAACCGCCAUUUUCUCGAUUAGGCCGACUUCUAUACGUAGAUCUAAUAUUAACCGGACUGCUCUCUCUCUCUCUCUCUCU
rnacentral:misc_RNA from 1 species